UGACUAUAUGUUUAACGGCCGCGGUAUUUACCGUGCGAAGGUAGCGCAAUCACUUGUCUUUUAAAUGGAGACCUGUAUGAAUGGCAUAACGAGGGCUUAACUGUCUCCUUUUUCAAGUCAGUGAAAUUGAUCUCCCCGUGCAGAAGCGGGGAUAUAUCUAUAAGACGAGAAGACCCUAUGGAGCUUUAGACACCAAGGCAUCUCAUGUUAAACACCUCUUAACAAAGAACUAAACCAAAUGAGCUAUGCCCCUAUGUCUUUGGUUGGGGCGACCACGGGGAAAUAAAAAACCCCCGAGCGGACCGGGAGUAUAACCUCCUAAAACCAAGAGCUGCAGCUCUAAUAAACAGAACUUCUGACCAAUAAGAUCCGGCAACGCCGAUCAACGGACCGAGUUACCCUAGGGAUAACAGCGCAAUCCCCUUUUAGAGCCCAUAUCGACAAGGGGGUUUACGACCUCGAUGUUGGAUCAGGACAUCCUAAUGGUGCAGCCGCUGUUGAGGGUUCGUUUGUUCAACGAUUAAAGUCCUACGUGAUCUGAGUU
rnacentral:rRNA from 1 species